rnacentral:misc_RNA from 1 species
AGCAGCCGCGGUAAUUCCAGCUCCAAUAGCGUAUAUUAAAGUUGUUGCAGUUAAAAAGCUCGUAGUUGAACUUCGGGGUUCACCCAUUGGUCAGGCUUAAUUGUCUGUACUGGUGAGAUGAGUCUCUACCUUCUGAGGAACUUUCAUGCCAUUUAUUUGGUGUGAUGGGAAAUCAGGACUGUUACUUUGAAAAAUUGAGUGUUUAAAGCAGGCUAACGUCUGAAUACAUUAGCAUGGAAUAAUGAAAUAGGACGGAUUGAUUCUAUUUCGUUGGUUUCUAGGGUCACCGUAAUGAUUAAUAGGGAUAGUUGGGGGCAUUAGUAUUCAACUGUCAGAGGUGAAAUUCUUGGAUUUAUUGAAGACUAACUACUGCGAAAGCAUUUGCCAAGGAUGUUUUCAUUAAUCAAGAACGAAAGUUAGGGGAUCGAAGACGAUCAGAUACCGUCGUAGUCUUAACCAUAAACUAUGCCGACUAGGGAUCGGACGCAGUUAAUUUUAUAAUGACGUGUUCGGCACCUUA